AUGAACGCUGGCGGCGUGCCUCAUACAUGCAAGUCGCGCGAACGGACGAGAAGCUUGCUUUUCUGAUGUUAGCGGCGGACGGGUGAGUAACACGUGGAUAACCUACCUAUAAGACUGGGAUAACUUCGGGAAACCGGAGCUAAUACCGGAUAAUAUUUUGAACCGCAUGGUUCAAAAGUGAAAGACGGUCUUGCUGUCACUUAUAGAUGGAUCCGCGCUGCAUUAGCUAGUUGGUAAGGUAACGGCUUACCAAGGCAACGAUGCAUAGCCGACCUGAGAGGGUGAUCGGCCACACUGGAACUGAGACACGGUCCAGACUCCUACGGGAGGCAGCAGUAGGGAAUCUUCCGCAAUGGGCGAGAGCCUGACGGAGCGACGCCGCGUGAGUGAUGAAGGUCUUCGGAUCGUAAAACUCUGUUAUUAGGGAAGAACAUAUGUGUAAGUAACUGUGCACAUCUUGACGGUACCUAAUCAGAAAGCCACGGCUAACUACGUG
rnacentral:rRNA from 1 species